rnacentral:rRNA from 1 species
GGAAACAACGGGCGGGCAGGCGUGUGGAAACGGGGGGGGCGGGCGGGGACCGGUUGGAGUGGGCGUAAAGAGCGCGUAGGCGGUCCGGUAAGUCGGGUGUGAAAACUCUAGGCUCAACCUGGGGACGCCACCUGAUACUGCCGUGGCUAGAGUCCGGUAGGGGAGCAUGGAAUUCCUGGUGUAGCGGUGAAAUGCGCAGAUAUCAGGAGGAACACCAGUGGCGAAGGCGGUGCUCUGGGCCGGAACUGACGCUGAGGAGCGAAAGCGUGGGGAGCAAACAGGAUUAGUACCCUGGUAGUC